AGGACCCAUUUCAAGUGGGUCGGGGCAUCUGGCUGUUAACCAGAAGGUUGGUGGUUCAAGCCCACCCAGGGAUG